GCUUAAGCAGGGUGCUGUCCUGUGGCAUGGCUGAGCCAGAGUGACACUGCCACCAUCCACAGAAACAAAACAUGAGUCAAGCACCAGAAGGUUCUGGAGAGGGAGCGUCAUGAUGCCCCCUGCAGCAGCAGCAGCCACCAGGUUCUGGAUGUUGGCUGUGGGCAGGGAGAGAACGAGGCCCUGUUGCCCACCCAGGUGUCCGCCUGCGUUGAAGGGGAUGAGGAUGGGCUGGUUCAUGCCUGGCGCUGCACCGGACAUCACACCGCCAACUGCAUUGGCCAGCUGCUGGGCUACCAGGAGAGACUACAGCAGAAACACAAAACACACAUACUUUUUAUAAUUUUUUUUCUCUAAUAUAUUUCAUUUCAUCAAACAACAUUGUGUCAUCUGAGACAUUUUGGAAGUAGUAUGUCCUUCUUUUAAUACCAGCUAAAUUCUGAAUAAACUAAACACUGUCAUGUGAUUUAGUUUGAUAAUUUCAAAUUACUUUACCAUAUUUGAGUAAAAAAGAAACACAUAGGAAAAUUUGUAGCAAAGAGGGUGGAGGUGCAGAGGGGUUGUUUAGUUAAAUAUGUUAGUCUAGUGUGCCUGACUCUUGAUCCUUUAACUGACUGAGGUUUGUGCAAAUUAGAACCUAUGGCCAUGACCAUAACUCAAAAAUAUCAGAAGCCUAACUUUGCUGUGUAUUGAUAAAUCCAUGGCGCUGUCCGUGGUGCUAUAAAAGCAGACCAAUUUGUAAUAGCGACUUUUUCUCUGAGUCCAACCCUCUGUCAGUUUCGCUUGUUGCGAGAGAAUGAAACAAAACAGUUCCGUCUCACCUAUUAAGAGUUAUCAAAUCACCUGCUAAAAACCAACAGGUAUCACACAAUGGCAAAUAUAUGAAAAUCACAUUACAACAAGUGUUCUACUGCUAUAUAUUACCAAACCAAACUCUUUGGGUAAAAUUAUUACUUUAAUAGCUCAUUUAAGAUCUAAAUCAUAUUAUAUAUACACAGUAUAUACAUAUAUACACACACUGUAUUGUACAUAUCUAUUCUGGGAUGCUUAAUUGAAGUGACUGUAUCACUAAUCAAUGUGUUUUGAUUAAUGCAGUUGUUAUGUUGAUGAAUUCUUGCUUUAUUGUGUCACAGACUGAUAGUAAAAACACACUGCCGUUGGUACUGAUAGAGAUCAAAUUCAAUCUUUGUGAAAGAGUUGAGAAUUUUUCUUUCACGGCGAUGCAGAGUGAUUUAUGUUUCAUCCCAUUGAACAAAUCCCUGGUACCACAGAAAUGUGCCUGAAAUACAUAGUGCUUUUCCAACAAAAAAUAAAAAAGUAGCAGUACUUUACUCUUUUGAUGAGGGAUAUAACACAUCACUCUCAGCUCUUCAUGUUUCCAUUCAUUCACAUUAGUUCAAGUGGAUUUGCUGCAGUCAUACCCAUAGAGGAAAAGAUAUGUUAUCAGAAGUAUCGCUCUGAGAUAUUUUGCACAGUAGAUCUCUUCAAAUGUAUUUUCCGAGGAAGUGGGUUUGGAUAGACACCAACACAUUUUUAAUCGAGAGCUUUGAGCCUGAAGUGGGAAUGUUUGUACCAUGGCCUAAAUCUCCAUUAAUACACAGGGAAUGACAUCUUACAUUUUAUUCAUUCUGAUAAAACCCUUUUCAAAUUAUGUCAGCGUUUGAGCAUGUCAAACUGAAUUUACACAGGAGGGAUGAGACAGGAGUUACUGAGGAUGUUGCAAAAUCCAACAAAAUUAAUGUUUAAACAUUAAAUUGAAUUGUUUGGAAUAAAAUGACAAGAGUACACUGUCACCUUGUGUUGUGUCCAGACUAAAGCAGCCUUUAGAUGUUGCUAGGUAAGCCUGGCUGCACUGUGUUGACUCCUCCACUGUGACUUAAGUUCACAAGCCUUUAACUCCAAUUGUCAGCUAUCUGCCUCUGUUUUGCAUGGUGUGUCUGCCACUUGCACAGAAUGCAGAGCGGGCUGACUGGUGCGAAGACCUCACCGUACUCCCAAACCUGGUGCUCCUAGGUGACAGGCGUGUCACUGUGAUAACCCUGCAUGGAGCAGAACGCCUGCACCCACUGCGACAUACAUGCGAUCACAGUUUAAGAGGUACUGUUGGAAAGCUGUUGUACAGGGGUUGGCAGGCCUGACAGAUGAGUGUUGAGAAGUGGUCUCCUAGGGGCCACACGGACACACAGACUGGGUGUGUGUUGGGCUCUGGAUGGGGACGUAGCCCCACUCAGGACUGGAUCUGGUACCCAGCCUCUCUGCCCAUCAAGGGAGAACAGGCCCUUCUAUUUGCUUGGCAGCUCUGGCACUGAGAAAUUGCCCAUAAUGACCCAGAUAGCAGACUUUUGUCAUCCUAACUGCGAGUGGGAAACAGAAAGAAGGUGGAUUCAUGUUGGGUAAACUACCAUCGGAUAAUGGUUGUUUGAACAAUAUCCGGCUCUGGAGCCAGAAUCUAUCAAAACAUAUUGAUCCUGGAACAAGAGAAUUGGGUAUGGCAUGCGGAGCGCCUUUGUUUCUGAAAAGUGUUAGCUUCGCAGAGACUGUACUGACAGCAUUAAUAUAUUAGAUGGUGACUGUUGAGAGCCGCCUGCUGAGGCUCAGACUGUAACUGCUGCCUGCUAGACAUGCUUUCCUUUUGUGUGUAUUUCUUAUCUAUUACAAGAACAGUGGCUUUGACCAGCUACUGUGUCUCUAAUCAGAAAAGUGCUUUUAAUUAAGCUCAUUCUUCAUCUUCACUUGCAGCAGAUUGACUCUUUCACUGGGGAGUUCUCACCCUAUAAACCUGCCCAACAAAACUGAACGACUC